rnacentral:rRNA from 1 species
UGCAAGUCGAGCGGUAAGGCCCUUCGGGGUACACGAGCGGCGAACGGGUGAGUAACACGUGGGUGAUCUGCCUCGCACUUCGGGAUAAGCCUGGGAAACUGGGUCUAAUACCGGAUAUGACCAUGGAAUGCAUGUUUUGUGGUGGAAAGAUUUAUCGGUGCGAGAUGGGCCCGCGGCCUAUCAGCUUGUUGGUGAGGUAACGGCUCACCAAGGCGACGACGGGUAGCCGACCUGAGAGGGUGACCGGCCACACUGGGACUGAGACACGGCCCAGACUCCUACGGGAGGCAGCAGUGGGGAAUAUUGCACAAUGGGCGAAAGCCUGAUGCAGCGACGCCGCGUGGAGGAUGACGGCCUUCGGGUUGUAAACUCCUUUCGACAGGGACGAAGCGAGAGUGACGGUACCUGUAGAAGAAGCACCGGCCAACUACGUGCCAGCAGCCGCGGUAAUACGUAGGGUGCGAGCGUUGUCCGGAAUUACUGGGCGUAAAGAGCUUGUAGGCGGUCUGUCGCGUCUUCUGUGAAAACUUGGGGCUCAACCUUAAGCUUGCAGGCGAUACGGGCAGACUAGAGUACUUCAGGGGAGACUGGAAUUCCUGGUGUAGCGGUGAAAUGCGCAGAUAUCAGGAGGAACACCGGUGGCGAAGGCGGGUCUCUGGGAAGUAACUGACGCUGAGAAGCGAAAGCAUGGGUAGCAAACAGGAUUAGAUACCCUGGUAGUCCAUGCCGUAAACGGUGGGUACUAGGUGUGGGUUUCCUUCCACGGGAUCCGUGCCGUAGCUAACGCAUUAAGUACCCCGCCUGGGGAGUACGGCCGCAAGGCUAAAACUCAAAGAAAUUGACGGGGGCCCGCACAAGCGGCGGAGCAUGUGGAUUAAUUCGAUGCAACGCGAAGAACCUUACCUGGGUUUGACAUACACCGGAAACCUGCAGAGAUGUAGGCCCCCUUGUGGUCGGUGUACAGGUGGUGCAUGGCUGUCGUCAGCUCGUGUCGUGAGAUGUUGGGUUAAGUCCCGCAACGAACCUUAUCUUAUGUUGCCAGCGCGUAAUGGCGGGGACUCGUGAGAGACUGCCGGGGUCAACUCGGAGGAAGGUGGGGACGACGUCAAGUCAUCAUGCCCCUUAUGUCCAGGGCUUCACACAUGCUACAAU